rnacentral:rRNA from 1 species
UACGUAGGGUGCAAGCGUUAAUCGGAAUUACUGGGCGUAAAGCGUGCGCAGGCGGUGAUGUAAGACAGGUGUGAAAUCCCCGGGCUUAACCUGGGAACUGCAUUUGUGACUGCAUCGCUGGAGUGCGGCAGAGGGGGAUGGAAUUCCGCGUGUAGCAGUGAAAUGCGUAGAUAUGCGGAGGAACACCGAUGGCGAAGGCAAUCCCCUGGGCCUGCACUGACGCUCAGUGCACGAAAGCGUGGGGAGCAAACAGG